UACGUAGGGGCCUAGCGUUGUCCGGAUUUAUUGGGCGUAAAGAGCGUGUAGGCGGUCCGGUAAGUCAGCUGUGAAAGUCAAGGGCUCAACCCUUGAAAGCCGGUUGAUACUGUCGGGCUAGAGUCCGGAAGAGGCGAGUGGAAUUCCCGGUGUAGCGGUGAAAUGCGCAGAUAUCGGGAGGAACACCAAUGGCGAAGGCAGCUCGCUGGGACGGUACUGACGCUGAGACGCGAAAGCGUGGGGAGCAAACAGG
rnacentral:rRNA from 1 species